rnacentral:lncRNA from 1 species
CGAGCAUCGCAUAGCCUGCGGGGCUGGAUGCUGACCGCCCGGGCCAGCACCUAGGCGGACGCGGAGCUGUGCAGACCAGGGUUCGCGCGGGCCGGGUGGAGGCUCAAGCGGGGACCCCGGAGCGUGAGCCCCGGAGUCGGCGGCGCUGGGGCCAGAGGGGCCGGGAGGGAGUCGGCUGAGGUGGCGGCGGAGGCGAAGUGGCGGCGGAGGCGAAGGGGCGGCGGGACCCGGGCCUGGCCCGUAUGUGUCCUUGGCGGCCUAGACUAGGCCGUCGCUGUAUGGUGAGCCCCAGGGAGGCGGAUCUGGGCCCCCAGAAGGACACCCGCCUGGAUUUGCCCCGUAGGCCCGGCCCGGGCCCCUCGGGAGCAGAACAGCCUUGGUGAGGUGGACAGGAGGGGACCUCGCGAGCAGACGCGCGCGCCAGCGACAGCAGCCCCGCCCCGGCCUCUCGGGAGCCGGGGGGCAGAGGCUGCGGAGCCCCAGGAGGGUCUAUCAGCCACAGUCUCUGCAUGUUUCCAAGAGCAACAGGAAAUGAACACAUUGCAGGGGCCAGUGUCAUUCAAAGAUGUGGCUGUGGAUUUCACCCAGGAGGAGUGGCGGCAACUGGACCCUGAUGAGAAGAUAGCAUACGGGGAUGUGAUGUUGGAGAACUACAGCCAUCUAGUUUCUGUGGGGUAUGAUUAUCACCAAGCCAAACAUCAUCAUGGAGUGGAGGUGAAGGAAGUGGAGCAGGGAGAGGAGCCGUGGAUAAUGGAAGGUGAAUUUCCAUGUCAACAUAGUCCAGUACAGAACCUGCUAAGGCCAUCAAACCUAUUGAUCGGAAGUCAGUCCAUCAGAUUUGCUCUGGGCCAGUGGUACUGAGUCUAAGCACUGCAGUGAAGGAGUUAGUAGAAAACAGUCUGGAUGCUGGUGCCACUAAUAUUGAUCUAAAGCUUAAGGACUAUGGAGUGGAUCUCAUUGAAGUUUCAGACAAUGGAUGUGGGGUAGAAGAAGAAAACUUUGAAGGCUUAACGAUGUCACCAUUUCUACCUGCCACGCGUCGGUGAAGGUUGGGACUCGACUGGUGUUUGAUCACGAUGGGAAAAUCAUCCAGGAAACCCCCUACCCCCACCCCAGAGGGACCACAGUCAGCGUGAAGCAGUUAUUUUCUACGCUACCUGUGCGCCAUAAGGAAUUUCAAAGGAAUAUUAAGAAGACGUGCCUGCUUCCCCUUCGCCUUCUGCCGUGAUUGUCAGUUUCCUGAGGCCUCCCCAGCCAUGCUUCCUGUACAGCCUGCAGAACUGUGAGUCAAUUAAACCUCUUUUCUUCAUAAAUUA